UGCACCACCUCCGCCCGAUCCACCCGACCACCUCCCAACGGCGCCACCGGUCCCCAGCGCGUCACCCGCCGCCGCCACCCACUCCCCCGGCCCGACGCGCCUCCUGGCGCCGCCGGACCCUCGCACCACCGCGCGCCGCCGGACCCUCGCACCACCACGCGCCGUCAGACCCCGAAAUUUCGCGCGCCGCCAGAUCGCCGGAAUCCCGUGCGCCACCGAGACCAAGCAUCCCAGCGCGACGCCGCCGCCCCUAGAUCCCUGUGCUUUGCCACCGGCCAAGGAUCCUGCCAGGAAACCGACGACGACAGCAACAGUGCAUCGAAGCUCCACUUCACGGCGCCGCCAAGUGCCUGCAUCCCCGCGCGCAUCCAACCUACGGUGGGGCUCCCGCCUUCCGCCUCCUCCUGGCUGUCCCCUCCUUCUCGCUCCUUCCGCCUCCUCUCGAUGGUGCUCCACUGCCGCAGCACCAAUGGUGCUCGUCGCCGUUACACUCCGGCCGUUCAACUUCGCGGCGCCUGUAGGUUCACAGCCGCAGUGUCUCCUGAGUACCGCUGCUGCCAUGCAUCUCACCCCACUAACACAACCUUGCCCCGAUGUACUGCAUCUCAGUCAAACCCAACAUCGUCUAUGUUUUUAUCUGAAUGCGAACAGGAGGAGCUGGACUAUGUAGAGCAGAACAAAAUCUUCUUCCUAGAGAUCUCGGCGAUGACAACAAAGACGUUGGAGGAUCCUGGGUGGUGAGCCGGCUCUAUUUUUCUAUGAAAAAUGAAGUUAGUAUGGCUCAGAAAGAAGAACGAGUACAUGUCAACUUCAUUUGGCAUUUUCAAGUCUCAGUACAAAAAGACCGUUCAGAAAAAGAAGAAUUUGUCGGCUCCUCCUCUUGUUUGAUGUUCUGGUGUUUAGUUGUUUGCCGCUUUUUUCUCACUAAUUUUGCUCAAAAAGUUCCAGAGUCCUAUGUGCCACUGGUGAUCGCUACCCGCGUGAACAUAGGGAGGAAGAAGGUCACCAUCAGGCAGGGGAGAAGAUCACAUGAGGUGCAGAAAGAAGGUCAGGCUUCAGAACGGGUACAAACGGUCCUCGCCCGUGCCAUUGGUGUGCCUGUCUCCCCCGAAUGAGCAGUAGCGCUUAUGUGUAGCUCUCCGUCUAUAAUUCUCUCUCCCUGUUUGUGUUUAUGCUUUAACCUUUGAAAACAACUUAAUGUAUGAAUUGCACCUCUAUUGCUG